CGGCGGACGGGUGAGUAACACGUGGGCAACCUGCCCUAUAGACUGGGAUAACUCGCGGAAACGCGUGCUAAUACCGGAUAAUACAAUGAAGUGCCUGCUUCAUUGUUGAAAGAUGGCUUUUGCUAUCACUAUAGGAUGGGCCCGCGGCGCAUUAGCUAGUUGGUGGGGUAACGGCCUACCAAGGCGACGAUGCGUAGCCGACCUGAGAGGGUGAUCGGCCACACUGGGACUGAGACACGGCCCAGACUCCUACGGGAGGCAGCAGUAGGGAAUCUUCCACAAUGGACGGAAGUCUGAUGGAGCAACGCCGCGUGAGCGAAGAAGGUCUUCGGAUCGUAAAGCUCUGUUGUAAGGGAAGAAUAAGUACAGUAGUAACUGGCUGUACCUUGACGGUACCUUACGAGAAAGCCACGGCUAACUACGUGCCAGCAGCCGCGGUAAUACGUAGGUGGCAAGCGUUGUCCGGAAUUAUUGGGCGUAAA
rnacentral:rRNA from 1 species